rnacentral:rRNA from 1 species
AACGAACGCUGGCGGCGCGCCUAACACAUGCAAGUCGAACGAGAAUCCGGGGCAACUCGGUAGUAAAGUGGCAGACGGGUGAGGAAUACAUGGGUAACCUACCCUUGAGAAGGGAAUAACCCGCCGAAAGGUGAGCUAAUACCCUAUACGCUUUGCUCUUCAUGGAAAGCAAAGGAAAGCCAAGCCGAGGGCUUGGCACUCAAGGAGGGGCUCAUGUCCUAUCAGCUUGUUGGUGGGGUAACGGCCUACCAAGGCUACGACGGGUAGCUGGUCUGAGAGGAUGAUCAGCCACACUGGCACUGAGAUACGGGCCAGACUCCUACGGGAGGCAGCAGUGAGGAAUAUUGCGCAAUGGGCGAAAGCCUGACGCAGCGACGCCGCGUGGGGGAUGAAGGUUUUCGGAUUGUAAACCCCUUUUGUGAGGAAAGAUAAAGUGGGUAACCACUUAGACGGUACCUCAAGAAAAAGCCACGGCUAACUUCGUGCCAGCAGCCGCGGUAAUACGAAGGUGGCGAGCGUUGUUCGGAUUUACUGGGCGUAAAGAGCACGUAGGCGGUUGGGUAAGCCUCUUGGGAAAUCUCCCGGCUUAACCGGGAAAGGUCGAGGGGAACUACUCAGCUAAAGGACGGGAGAAGAGCGCGGAAUUCCCGGUGUAGCGGUGAAAUGCCUAAAUAUCGGGAAGAAGGCCGGU